rnacentral:lncRNA from 1 species
AAAAAGAUAUCAGCUGGGGUUCUUGGUGGAGCAACUGCAAUCUGGGUCCUUUUUGAGUUGAUCGAAUACCACCUACUUACUCUGCUCUGUCACAUUUCGAUACUCUGUCUUGCAGUAUUGUUCCUCUGGUCCAAUGUCCAUACCUUUAUCCACAAGUAAGUUCUGGGGGUCUUUGCAUGAGCUUUAAUCUAUUUAACAUAUUGAUGGUUUCUUAAAGAAUAUAAUAUGACCUUUUGCUUCACAGGACUCCACCUCGCAUCCCACAAGUUCAUUUGCCAGAGGAGCCAUUCCUUCAGAUCGCCUCUGCUCUGACAAUUGAACUUAACCAGGCAUUGAAACUGCUGCGAGAUAUUGCAUCUGGAAGGAAUCUGAAGAAGUUUCUUGUGG